AAAAAGACUUCUUAAAAUAAAAGUGAGUGUAGUGGUAAUAAAAUUCGCGUUGUUAAAAUCAAAGUGCAAAUAAAAUAAAUUUUGCAUAAUUUCGCGUAAAACAAAGUGUGUGUGUGAGUGAACAAUUUGAACAAUUUGACUCUGUGCAAUUUUGCGAAGAAAUGCUGACAUCCAUGCAGCCUGAGGAAUUCUAUGGAGAGCUUGAUAUUAUGCGCCUGGAGAAAAACUUGAGCAACCAGAAACGCUUGGGAAAAACUUACGCAACUAAACACAGGCAGACGAAUUCUUGGAUACAGCUGGAUGCAA